GAUCAUGUGCAGGCAGUAUAAAUACACAACGUACGCAUGGUGGCAGUCUAUCUCAUCGUUACAGAUAUAUCUUCCUUGAUUAGUUUUGUAAGCUCUUCAUCAGCGAUGGAGUACUCGACGAAGCUAGUGGUGCUGCUCGUAGCUCUCAUGUUGGCCAUGGCGGUCACGGCCCAAAACUCGGAGCAGGACUUCGUGGACGCCCACAACGCGGCGCGCGCCGACGUGGGCCUUGGGGAGGUGACAUGGGACGCUACGGUGGCAGCCUUCGCGCAGGACUACGCGGAUCAGCGCCGCGGCGACUGCCAGCUGAUCCAUACUCCUGAUGGCCGGCCGUACGGGGAGAACCUCUACGGAGGCGGCGGGACCGAGUGGACGGCGACGGACGCCGUGAAUUCGUGGGUGUCGGAGAAGCAGUACUACGACCACGACAGCAACACCUGCUCGGCGCCCGAGGGUGAGUCGUGCGGGCACUACACGCAGGUGGUGUGGCGCGACUCGACGGCCAUCGGCUGCGCCCGCGUCGUCUGCGACAGCGGCGACGGUGUGUUCAUCAUCUGCAGCUACAACCCGCCAGGCAACUUCCCCGGGGUGAGCCCGUACUAGGCUAUAUGCAUCAUGCAUGCAUGCGAGCGUGCAUGUACGUACGGCGUAUUGCAUAAAUAAAAUGAUUAAGCUCUGAUAACCACAGUGUGAUCAGAUGUGAUAUAUAAUUAACCAGCCGGCCGGAUUUGAGGCCAUAUAUUGUUUAGACCGGCUGUAUAUAUGUACCGUUAUGAUUCAGGUAAUAAGUUGUGUUAUUGUAUAAGCAGUGUUUAUGGAUGAAUAUAUGGUUCUACUAUUAUACUGUGCAUGGUAUAUGUGCCUCCCUGUGAAAAAAACCCAGCACACUUAGAAACCACUAAUCAAAGUGUCUUUCUUCCGUUUUGUCAUCUCGCACUUGUUCUCUAUGUUGUGCAUUUUUUUUCCGGAUCCCAACUCGUAAAACGGAGUAGAUCUCGAGAGGGCACACUAGGUCUUGUUCCUGAGACUCGCGCUCCCUCCUCCACGCCAUAGGCCACUCCCGCCGUGACAGUCACCCAAUCUGCCAUUAUGGCUCACCCAUCCACUCCCAGGUUUCACUCUGGAUCCAGCUCCGGUCGUGGUCCCGUGCAAGCUCGCUCUCGACUAGCGGUCCAUCGUAGGUUCCGGACUCGCUUGCGGCCCAGCCCGUGAAUGCAGUAGAUCUGACCUCGACGCCAUGAAUCCUGCCGCGGGGAGAGUCAUCCAACGCCAUGCAUGCCUAUGGUACUCCAGAUCUGGUGUUGUGAUUGAGCGGCAGUACCUAAAUCCAUCGUGGUCAUCCCCUACGCUCUUGUCAACAUUCCUCUUCGGGCGAGGAGGAAGGAUGGACGAAGAAAUAAUCUCGAAGGAACACACACAAGCAAGGAGCCAUCAAUUAUUAGUGCACACGUACAGCUACACAGCUCGGACCGACACCGGGACAUCAAUGGUGCGCCGGGCCUUGAGGCCUUCUUAAGCUGCUUCAAAGGCCGGAUACUCUGGGUUGCAUCAUUUGCGAGCUGCCAGGGUAUUUCGGCAGAGAGUACCCUCAAAAUCCAUGAAACGGCGGUGUCCGGCGCCGACCUGGGCGCCAAUUCAAGAUCAGGUUCAAACAACCGGGCAAUUACCCCUUCAUCCACCAAAAGAGAUGAAAUGCUUUCACUAUUUGUUCUAGAAGAUAACUUACCGGCGUUUUUGUUAAUUACAAAUGAUUGUGAAGGUGUAUGGUAGGAAGCCAAUAACACUUAGUGUGGAAUAUUUUUAUAAAUGCAAAGUAGAUAAUUAUUGUAUUGGAGAUGCCGGCUUCUUUCAAGUAUUAUAUAAACUAGAUGACCCGUUGCGCCGAUGGCGCAAAAGGCCGAGUGCAAGCCAAGUAUUGAAAGAGUGUGCAUUCAAAUAUGUAGACACAUAAUGAAACAUACAGAAAUAAGUAUGAAUUGAUGAUAGAUAGAUGGUCGUUGCUGAACAUGUUUUCUAAGAAGCUUAUGAACGAUCAUUUACAAUGUUAUGAGUAAGGCAUGUAGAUAGGCAGAGAUACGUUUCACAGAUGUAUCGUUGGACAUUCAGAACGAUUCUCUGAGUCAACUCUUCAUAGUUGCUAUUCUUCAUGGCCUGCAUUGCUCAAAGGAGAAAUUCAUUUGAUGUCAUCGUCGAGUUUCCAAUAAUUGUGGUGUGUUUGCUAGAGAUCAUAUUCAGACUAUGUUGUUGUAUUGCUAAGACGGUCAGCAACAUAUUUUACCUGUGAUAAAACAUGAUUGAGAUUGUUCUCUUUCAAUGUUGAACCAGCUGUGAAGUUUGUAUCUAUUAUGCGAUAAAGUUUCUUUGCUGCCAUGCGAUCUCCAAUGAGGCUAUUGCACCAGCUGUUGCUAAAAUAGUUGAUUAUUCCGUCUUUUCUUUUUGUUGAUACUCUAGGGCCUGGCAUUUUUGUUGAGCUGGUUGUGCCUUGUCAUAGUUUUUGUCUUGCAAAACUUUGCUGUAAGAGCCCUGUAUGCAUUUGAGAGCCUCAGUUGCUAGUCAGUUCUCAGCUUCUUCGAGUUUGUCGUACACAUGGAUGGACAUUGAUUUUUGUGGAAGUCCAUUGUCCAGUUGUUGCUUACAUCCAUAGAAGUGAAUUGUUGCGUCAAGACCGACCGUCCGCCCCUUUUGUGUUGAGUAAACUGCAUUUGGGAGGCCAAGCUUGUGCAUCAUAGCGUCUAGUACUUUUGCUGGAAUCUUCACUCUUUCCAUUGCAGUUGUUAAAUGAUACAAGGAAGAAUGUACUGUUAGAAACUGUAGUCUAUGAUUUUGUAUCUGCUUGUAUGUUCACGAAUCCAUAGAAAGAUAUACCAUUAUCACAGUAACCAAAUUAUAUGUGUUGUGUACCUAUCUGCAAAGAGAGCAGUAGGGCAUUCAAAUCAUGUAUAUGUGACUGAUACUUAAUAGAUACUUGGUAUCAUGAUAGGCUAAAAGGAAGCAAUGAGAUCACCUGAUAAUACCAUACUAUGCAUAACAAAAUAUUUAGAUACAGUUGAUGCAUAACAUUGUAAGAGAGGCAUAAGAUCAAUUUACGAUAGCUUAUUUACAUUGCUUGUAUCAAGAAAGGCACUUAGGUUGAGAUUCAUCAUAUAGACACAUUUGAAUUUGCUAUAUACAUGGAAGGAGGGAGUAUAUAUGAUUGGUAGUGUUAUGAUGAAUAUGUAGCAGUACGAAUACAACUGAGGGAAUACAUCAAUAUUAGGAAGUGCUUGAUUACAUUUAGAAUACACGACCACAAAAGGAUGCGUAGCACAUAGAUGAUUACCAUAGUCUAAGGCCUACGUAUGUCUCGUUCUUUAGAGCAAGAACAAAAGGGUUGAGAUAUCACUGAAACUAAAUCUCGACUACACUGCAGAUGAAACAACAUGUGUUUGCUUCAGUGGUCACAUAGGCAUGGCAGUUAGGUUAGACGCAGCAAAAGUAAUUAGAAACGGCCUUUCAUUCUUUCUAGGCAUUGUUCUACUUACUAUAAACAAAAAGGUUGAAAAUAUAGGUUGAUUACAUAGGUAAGCAGUGAGCUGGCGCUGAUGGAUAUCCUCCUUAGCCACAACUGCAAUGGCCACAAAGUGGGGGCUUCAUGAGGGCAAAUGUUCUCGUUAAAACCCGGUACCAAAACUCUAAUGCAGACUGCUUUGCACUAUUUCAGGUGGUGGAUCUGUAAGAGAAUGAACAAUAUGACAGGAAACACUAUCAAUUGCAACAUCAACAUACGUCUUAAUUUGCUCAUGAUCUAAUAGAGUAAGCAAAUAAAAUCUCAGGUAACCACCUGGUACACAAAACAAAGGACAUUUAAAUCCUGAAACCUGGAGAUAUUAGAUAUACAUGGUGUCUUCCACAUAGACCAGGAAGAAAAAUAAUAGUACAUCAGUAGAAGCUAUAUUCUAAUGUAAUACAUGUAAUAUAUCCAGGAAAUAUAAACAGAAAAAGAAACUGAGCAAUAUACACCAUGCAUGUUCAGAUAAUCAUGCUUAAAGGAAGUGCAAUGCAUACUAUGGAAUCACACAGCCUAAAUCCAUCCUCGUCUAGAAGACUGCAUUAUAACCAUACAUCAAGAAAUUAACGGAAAAGGGGAUUUGCCCGGAUGACGAAAAAUCGUGUGAUAGGCAGCACAGAGUUUUUAUAUUUCCAAGCCAAAAUAUAUUACAAAAAGAUAUUAGAGACAAUGGCUAUGAAGAACUAAGAAUCUAUAUGGAGUGGGGGUGAGAGACGGACCCUUCAACAUUUCACUGUCCACAGUUAUUCCUGAAUGACAUGCAUUCAUUCUUCAUCCUAGAAGCAUCGAUGCUGCACCACGUUGUCAAACGUCAAUGAUUAAUCAAACACAUGUCUAUAAAAAAGUCUGUUUAGAUAUGUUGAUCCUGCAAAAUAAAUAAAUGGGUGGUCAUUAUUAGGAAUGCAUCCUGGGGUUUGCUAAUGAAUGGAAAGCUAUAGUGCAUAGGAGUCUAAAUGCUACAAAGGAUUCUUUCUUUGGGAACAACAUAUGACCACAAAUGUAUGCUUUUUUCCUUCAGCCUGCUUAUGUUCUGGUGUUCACGACAAGUGACCUGCAUUUUCACCCCUAGUGUGGUACCAUUUUGUAUCAGGUAUAUUAAAAAUAAACUGUGUGGUUAGGCUCAUGAUUGCCAAGAACAAUUACGACCUUGGUAGUGUGGCUAUCAACCUGCGAUGGACUAAACAAUACUCUUAUUGUUUCUGUAUAUCCAGGAACUUCAUGAAUUGCAUUUGCGACAGUCAGGUAUUAAUAACCACAUAAGAAUGACACACAAAUAUAAUAUCUUGGUUGCAUCAUACAUUUGAAAGAUUAGGUACCUAGCAGGUUCUAGUGGGGAGUGAUGAUUUUGAUCCUUUAUCAGGUGAUUCAAGAGAUUCCUAAAGAAUCAAUACACACAAAUUCAAACCAACAAAGCAGUGCAAAAGAACAAGCAGAAGGUACCUCUUAUGGCAUGUCUUGUCAUGCCAUCGAUUGGUGAAGGUGGCACUGGAGUUCAAACAAUUCCAUCUCUCUGCAUAAUUGCAAUACAUCCUUUCGGCUGAACCAAUCAUGUUUCUGAAGCCCGGGAUGUUGCCACCAAGAGCAUCCUUUUGCAGUUCACGUCAUCAACGAAAUAUCAUAUCCCUUUCUCUUUCAAGUGUAUCAUCAGGUAACCUAUCUUUUCAUUGAUCUUAUUUCCCCAAAUUAAGACUGUCUGAGUGCCUUGCUAUCGCCUACUAAAGGAACUGUUCUGUGGAUUUUAACGAACUGCCUGCAGUACAUAAAAGUUAUAUCAACUUACAUACAAAAAAGGUUAAAUAUCUAUUUCAUGACUACAUUAAUAUUUCCCUCAAGCAAAAACCUAAAUAACCAGUUCUAAGUUUAGCUCAAACUUCGACUGAGUUACUGAGUCACUCAUUGAUCUGUUAAUAGCUUUUAAAUCGCUUAACCAAUCUCAUCAAAUAAACUAUUCUCAAAUACCUAUAGAGAAUUCCCUAUAACUUUAUUUCAGAUGAUUGCGACUAAAACUGUCUCUAACUUUGUUGAAGACAGGUAAACAGAUCUUCUCACAGCCUCGUUAUUACUAAACAGUAGCAUCGCUUCUGGCUUAACUCCUAAACUACCAAUCAAAUUUCAGUGAAACCAGCACCAUUGGAAACAUAAAAACAAGAGCUACAACUGUUGUUCUAGGAGUACAUCGAAAUUCCGCACAGAUUAUGCCCAGAACUUGAAAGAAACUUAGUGCUAAUAUAUACUACCUAGCAGCUACGAAUCUCAAUAUAAUUCGACCUUAUCUCAGCACCUGCAUGUGUUUGCUACAAGAGAAAAGAAACAAAAUACGGACAACAUCUGCAGUCUGCUGUGAGCAGAUGCCAACUCCAACGGGGCUGAACCCGGGUGUCGUCCUCCUCGGUGGUCUGUGAUGCAAGCUUCCUAGGUAAGCAUCUAAGUGUUACAAAUAUACUUGUGUAUUUCUACAGGGACGUAGACCUAUAGUUUUUUUUAGAUGUGUACAUAAUUAAGGGAGGUUUAUGGUUGAUUCAGUUCAAGCAAGUCGCCUUUUCCAUACUUGUUUAGAAGUGUACAUACUUGUUUAAACGUUACUGCAAUCCUCAGGGGAAAUCAGCUAUGCAGACCAAAAAUAUGACAAAUUUAGAAGUGUGUAGUUAUUACCAAAGCAAUCACCAGGAAGAUCAAUUUGGAUAACAUGUUGUUAGUGUUACUUUUCUAUAUAAAAGAACUUAGCAAAUAAGAAAUAACCUAGAAGAUACAAAAGGAGGCACGGAUAUAUAUUUAAAAACUAUAGGGAAUGAAAUUGGUCAGCUAUCAACAAAAAGACAGGGAGUGCCCUCAUAAAUUUGAGAACGAGCAUCACAAUAAUCUGAUCACUACAAAAUAUGGUUGUAACUUGUUUUUUCUGCAAUUAAACAACCAAAAGCAGUGCACAAUAUAUAUGGAAAAAACACUGCAUCAUCUCCCAGAAGCAGAAAAAGUUAUAUUAGCCCAUCAUCUGCACUCUAGGUAUAUCAAAAUUAAACUAAGCGAACCUGACACAGCCAAGAACCGAAUUUUAUCAUGAUAAACGACAAUAACAUGAGUAACAACCAGAAUAAUUAGUACAACGCCAGUACAAAUGGAAGACCACAGCUUGGGAAUAGUAGAUGUGAAGUUAUCAAGAAAUUACCUGAAUGCUCCUAUGUGUAGUGAGGGAAAUAGACUAAAUUGAAGCCUCAUGACCUUAAAAUAUGCAAGCUUAGCAUGUUCUUUUUCAUUCCAAAAACAGUGACAUCAAUUGAUUAACCUCAACUUAAAGAUGGCCCCAAACAGGAAGAAAUAAAAAGAAAGCUAUCACACAAGAAGUUUGGCAACCGAACUGGUAAAUAAUACAUAUGAAUCCUUAUGAGAUAACAACUAUAUAAACUCUGCCUGAGGAAACUAUAUAGUUGAAGAGAUUCAGUACAGGGUAUCAAUUGCAUAAGCAUAAGAUAUAUUUACCAAUUGGCGAGCCGCCUAACCCUCCAUGUUCUGAACUGAAGUGCGAUGCAAACAACAUCUACACAAAACCUGAAACACAUUGUCAACAAAUUUCAGUAUCUUACAAAGCCUCCCCAGGAUGAGAUAGAGUUGACAGAGAAGAGUUUCAUACCAAUUGAUAAUUAGCGAGGGGGGCUUGCAUACCUGAAAAGAGCAUAGCAGAGCAAAAGUCCAUACUACUGGAAAAAAAUCUCCAUUUUCUGGUCGAUAUGAACCUGGCUACAAAUCUCCACCGACGGCGGCUACGCAAGGGAUGAAUUUCAGUGCUUUGGAUAAUUAGUGAAAUUGCAUUUUUAGAAGGAAGCUACAAUUUUCAUGUGCUACAUGACUACAUACAGAGGGAUACCUACUUGAUUGCAGCUUUAAGGCUUGCCGACAUCAAUCCCAGGGAGAACUCUCUUUGCGCAACACACCUCAAGCUCAUGUUUUUAUUAUCUCUGCUCAUCCAAAGAAAAUGAGAGCUAUCUGAAACGAAAAUUGAAAUGAAACUGCUCCUGUUCUAGGGUACCACCGAUCUGUUGGAAAUAUGCCCUAGAGGCAAUAAUAAAAGUAUUAUUAUAUUUCAUUGUUCAUGAUAAUUGUCUUGUAUUCAUGCUAUAACUGUAUUAUCCGGAAAUCGUAAUACACGUGUGAAUACUUAGACCACACUAAGUCCCUGGUAAGCCUCUAGUUGACCAGCUCGUUGUGAUCAACAGAUAGUCAUGGUUUCCUGACUAUGGACAUUGGAUGUCGUUGAUAACGGGAUCACAUCAUUAGGAGAAUGAUGUGAUGGACAAGACCCAAUCCUAAGCAUAGCAUAAAAGAUCGAGUAGUUCGUUUUGCUAGAGCUUUGCAAGUGUCAAGUAUCUCUUCCUUCGACCAUGAGAUCGUGUAACUCCCGGAUACCGUAAGAAUGCCUUGGGUGUACCAAACGUCACAACGUAACUGGGUGACUAUAAAGGUACAUUACAGGUAUCUCCGAAAGUAGCUGUUGGGUUGACACGGAUCGAGACUGGGAUUUGUCACUCCGUAUGACGGAGAGGUAUCUCUGGGCCCACUCGGUAAUGCAUCAUCAUAUUGAGCUCAAUGUGACCAAGGUGUUGGACACGGGAUCAUGCAUUACGGUACGAGUAAAGUGACUUGCCGGUAACGAGACUGAACAAGGUAUUGGGAUACCGACGAUCGAGUCUCGGGCAAGUAACGUACCGAUUGACAAAGGGAAUUGCAUACAAGGUUUGAUCGAAUCCUCGACAUAGUGGUUCAUCCGAUGACAACAUCGAGGAGCAUGUGGGAGCCAUCAUGGGUAUCCAGAUCCCGCUGAUGGUUAUUGACUAAGAGAGUCUCGGUCAUGUCUGCAUGUCUCCCGAACCCGUAGGGUCUACACACUUAAGGUUCAGUUACGCUAGGGUUAUAGGGAUAUGUAUAUGCAGUAACCCGAAUGUUGUUCGGAGUCCCGGAUGAGAUCCCGGACGUCACGAGGAGUUCCGGAAUGGUCCGGAGGUAAAGAUUUAUAUAUGGGAAGUCCUGUUUCGGGCAUCGGGACAAGUUUCGGGGUUAUCGGUAUUGUACCGGGACCACCGGAAGGGUCCCGGGGGUCCACCGGGUGGGUCCACCUGUCCCGGGGGGCCACAUGGGCUGUAAGGGGGUGCGCCUUGGCCUAAUGGGCCAAGGGCACCAGCCCCACAUAGGCCCAUGCGCCUAGGGUUCAAGGGGGGCAAGAGUCCUAGGAGGGUAAGGCACCUCCUAGGUGCCUUGGGGGGAGGGAAAACCCCCCUUGGCCGCCGCACCCCCUAGGAGAUUUGAUCUCCUAGGGCCGGCCACCCCCCCUUGGCACCCCUAUAUAUAGUGGGGGGAGAAGAGGGACUUCAUACCUGAACGCCCUGGCCUUUGGUUGCCUCCUUCUCCCUCCCCAACACCUCCUCCACCUCCAUAGUGCUUAGCGAAGCUCUGCCGGAGUACUGCAGCUCCACCAACACCACGCCGUCGUGCUGCUGCUGGUGCCAUCUCCCUCAACCUCUCCUCCCUUCCUUGCUGGAUCAAGAAGGAGGAGACGUGGCUGUUCCGUACGUGUGUUGAACGCGGAGGUGCCGUCCGUUCGGCGCAGGUCAUCGGUGAUUUGGAUCACGUCGAGUACGACUACAUCAUCACCUUGCAAGCUUCCGCACGCGAUCUACAAGUGGUAUGUAGAUGCAAACUCUCUCCCUAGACUCGUUGCUUAGAUGAACUCAUAGAUGGAUCUUGGUGAAACCGUAGGAAAAUUUUUAAUUUUCUGCAACGUUCCCCAACAGUGGCAUCAUGAGCUAGGUCUAUACGUAGUUCUCUUUGCACGAGUAGAACACAACUUUGUUGUGGGCGUGGAUUUUGUCAUCUUACUUGCCUCUACUAGUCCUUUCUUGCUCAACGGUAUUGUGGGAUGAAGCGGCCCGGACCAACCUUACACGUACACUUACGUGAGACCGGUUCCACCGACUGACAUGCACAAGUUGCAUAAGGUGGUUGGCGGGUGUCUGUCUCUCCCACCUUAGUUGGAGCGGAAUCGAUGAACAGGGCCCUUAUGAAGGGUAAAUAGAAGUUGACAAAAUCACGUUGUGGUGAUUCGUAGGUAAGAAAACGUUCUUGCUAGAACCCAAUUGCAGCCACGUAAAAGAUGCAACAACAAUUAGAGGACGUCUAACUUGUUUUUGCAGCGAUUGAUCAUGUGAUGUGAUAUGGCCAGAAGUUGUGAUGAAUGAUGAAUUGUGAUGUAUGAGAUCAUGUUCUUUGUAAUAGGAUUCACGACUUGCAUGUCGAUGAGUAUGACAACCGGCAGGAGCCAUAGGAGUUGUCAUUAUUUUUUGUAUGACCUGCGUGUCAUUGAAUAACGUCAUGUAAACUACUUUACUUUAUUGCUAAACGUUAGUCAUAAAAGUAGAAGUAGUCGAUGGCGUGACAACUUCAUGAAGACACGAUGAUGGAGAUCAUGAUGAUGGAGAUCAUGGUGUCAAGCCGGUGACAAGAUGAUCAUGGAGCCCCGAAGAUGAAGAUCAAUGGAGCUAUAUGAUAUUGGCCAUAUCAUGUCACAACUAUAUAAUUGCAUGUGAUGUUUAUUAUGUAUUAUGCAUCUUGUUUACUUAGGACGACGGUAGUAAAUAAGAUGAUCCCUUAUAAAAUUUCAAGAAGUGUUCUCCCCUAACUGUGCACCGUUGCUACAGUUCGUCGUUUCUAAGCACCACGUGAUGAUCGGGUGUGAUGGAUUCUUACGUUCACAUACAACGGGUGUAAGACAGUUUUACACAGCGAAAACACUUAGGGUUAACUUGACGAGCCUAGCAUGUGCAGACAUGGCCUCGGAACACGGAGACCGAAAGGUCGAACACGAGUCGUAUAGAAGAUACGAUCAACAUGAAAAUGUUCACCGACGAUGACUAGUCCGUCUCACGUGAUGAUCGGACACGGGCUAGUCGACUCGGAUCGUGUAACACUUAGAUGACUAAAGGGAUGUCUAAUCUGAGUGGGAGUUCAUAAUUUGAUUAGAACUUAAUUAUCAUGAACUUAGUCUAAAACCUUUGCAAAUAUGUCUUGUAGAUCAAAUGGCCAACGCUCAUGUCAACAUGAACUUCAACGCGUUCCUAGAGAAAACCAAGCUGAAAGAUGAUGGCAGCAACUAUACGGACUGGGUCCGGAACCUGAGGAUCAUCCUCAUAGCUGCCAGGAAACAAUAUGUCCUAGAAGGACCGCUAGGUGACGCUCCCGUCCCAGAGAACCAAGACAUUAUGAAUGCUUGGCAGUCUCGCGCUGAUGAUUACUCCCUCGUUCAGUGCGGCAUGCUUUACAGCUUAGAACCGGGGCUCCAAAAGCGUUUUGAGCAUCACGGAGCAUAUGAGAUGUUCGAAGAGCUGAAACUAGUUUUUCAAGCUCAUGCCCGGGUCGAGAGAUAUGAUGUCUCCGACAAGUUCUACAGUUGUAAGAUGGAGGAAAACAGUUCUGUCAGUGAGCACAUCCUGAAGAUGUCUGGAUUGCACAACCGUAUGACCCAGCUGAACAUUAACCUCCUAGAUGAGGCGGUCAUUGACAGAAUCCUCCAGUCGCUCCCACCAAGCUACAAGAGCUUUCUGAUGAACUACAACAUGCAGGGGAUGGAAAAGACCAUUCCUGAAGUGUUCUCGAUGCUGAAGUCAGCAGAGGCUGAAAUCAAGAAAGAACAUCAAGUGUUGAUGGUCAAUAAGACCACUAAGUUCAAGAAGGGCAAGGGUAAGAAGAACUUCAAGAAGGACGGCAAAGAUGUUGCCGCGCCUGGUAAGCCAGUUACCGGGAAGAAGUCAAAGAAUGGACCCAAGCCUGAGACUGAGUGCUUUUAUUGCAAGGGGAAGGGUCACUGGAAGCGGAACUGCCCCAAAUACUUAGCGGAUAAGAAGGCCGGCAACACCAAAGGUAUAUUUGAUAUACAUGUGAUUGAUGUGUACCUUACCAGUACUCGUAGUAACUCCUGGGUAUUUGAUACCGGUGCCGUUGCUCAUAUUUGUAACUCACAGCAGGAGCUGCGGAAUAAACGGAGACUGGCGAAGGACGAGGUGACGAUGCGCGUCGGGAAUGGUUCCAGAGUCGAUGUGAUCGCCGUCGGCACGCUGCCUCUACAUUUACCUACGGGAUUAGUUUUGAACCUUAAUAAUUGUUAUUUAGUGCCAAGUUUGAGCAUGAACAUUGUAUCUGGAUCUCGUUUAAUACGAGAUGGCUACUCAUUUAAGUCUGAGAAUAAUGAUUGUUUGAUUUAUAUGAGAGAUAUGUUUUAUGGUCAUGCUCCGAUGGUCAAUGGUUUAUUCUUAAUGAAUCUCGAGCGUAAUAUUACACAUGUUCAUAGUGUAGAUGCCAAAAGAUUUAAAGUUGAUAACGAUAGUCCCACAUUCUUGUGGCACUGCCGCCUUGGUCACAUUGGUGUCAAGCGCAUGAAGAAGCUCCAUGCCGAUGGACUUUUAGAGUCUCUUGAUUAUGAAUCGUUUGACACGUGCGAACCAUGCCUUUUGGGCAAAAUGACCAAGACUCCGUUCUCCGGAACAAUGGAGCGAGCAACCAACUUGUUGGAAAUCAUACAUACCGAUGUGUGCGGUCCAAUGAGCGUUGAGGCUCGCGGAGGAUAUCGUUAUGUUCUCACUCUCACAGAUGACUUGAGUAGAUAUGGGUAUGUCUACUUAAUGAAACACAAGUCUGAGACCUUUGAAAAGUUCAAGGAAUUUCAGAAUGAGGUAGAGAAUCAACGUGACCGAAAGAUAAAAUUCUUACGAUCAGAUCGUGGAGGAGAAUACUUAAGUCACGAAUUUGGUACACACUUAAAGAAAUGUGGAAUCGUUUCACAGCUCACGCCGCCUGGAACACCUCAGCGAAACGGUGUGUCCGAACGUCGUAAUCGCACUCUAUUGGAUAUGGUGCGGUCUAUGAUGUCUCUUACCGAUUUACCGCUAUCAUUUUGGGGAUACGCUCUAGAGACAGCAACAUUCACUUUAAAUAGGGCACCGUCUAAAUCCGUUGAGACGACACCGUAUGAAUUAUGGUUUGGAAAGAAACCUAAGCUGUCGUUUCUAAAAGUUUGGGGAUGCGAAGCUUAUGUCAAGAAACUUCAACCUGAAAAGCUCGAACCCAAGUCGGAAAAAUGCGUAUUCAUAGGAUACCCUAAGGAAACUAUAGGGUAUACCUUCUACUUAAGAUCCGAAGGCAAGAUCUUUGUUGCCAAGAACGGAUGCUUUCUGGAAAAAGAGUUUCUCUCGAAAGAAGUAAGUGGGAGGAAAGUAGAACUCGAUGAAGUACUACCUCUUGAGCGGGAUAGUGACGCAGCACAGGAAACCAUUCCUGUGAUGCCCACACCAACUGAAGAGGAAAACCAUGAUAAUGAUCAAGGUACUUCGGAUCAAGUUACUGCUGAACUUCAUAGGUUCACAAGAACACGUUCCGCACCAGAGUGGUACGGCAACCCUGUCCUGGAAAUCAUGUUGUUAGACAAUAAUGAACCUUCGAACUAUGAAGAAGCAAUGACGGGCCCGGAUUCCAACAAAUGGCUUGAAGCCAUGAAAUCCGAGAUAGAAUCCAUGUAUGAAAACAAAGUAUGGACUUUGACAGACUUGCCCGAUGAUCGGCGAGCGAUAGAAAACAAAUGGAUCUUUAAGAAGAAGACGGACGCGGAUGGUAAUGUUACCAUCUAUAAAGCUCGACUUGUCGCUAAGGGUUAUCGACAGGUUCAAGGGAUUGACUACGACGAGACAUUCUCUCCCGUAGCGAAGCUAAAGUCCGUCCGAAUCAUGUUAGCAAUUGCCGCAUACUAUGAUUAUGAGAUAUGGCAGAUGGACGUCAAAACAGCAUUCCUUAACGGGCAUCUUAAGGAAGAACUGUAUAUGAUGCAGCCGGAAGGUUUUGUCGAUCCUCAGAACGCUAGCAAAGUAUGCAAGCUCCAGCGAUCCAUUUAUGGACUGGUGCAAGCAUCUCGGAGUUGGAACAUUCGCUUUGAUGAGAUGAUCAAAGCGUUUGGGUUUAUGCAGACUUAUGGAGAAGCCUGCGUUUACAAGAAAGUGAGUGGGAGCUCUGUAGCAUUUCUCAUAUUAUAUGUAGAUGACAUACUCCUGAUGGGAAAUAAUAUAGAAUUUCUGGACAGCAUUAAGGCCUACUUGAAUAAGUGUUUUUCAAUGAAGGACCUUGGAGAAGCUGCUUAUAUAUUAGGCAUCAAGAUCUAUAGAGAUAGAUCGAGACGCCUCGUAGGUCUUUCACAAAGUACAUACCUUGAUAAGAUUUUGAAGAGAUUCAGAAUGGAUCAGUCCAAGAAGGGGUUCUUGCCUAUGUUACAAGGUAUGAGACUGAGCUCAGCUCAGUCACCGACCACGGCAAAAGAUAAAGAAGAGAUGAGUGUCAUCCCCUAUGCUUCAGCCAUAGGAUCUAUUAUGUAUGCCAUGCUGUGUACCAGACCCGAUGUAAACCUUGCCGUAAGUUUGGUAGCAAGAUACCAAAGUAAUCCCGGCAAGGAACACUGGACAGCGGUCAAGAAUAUCCUGAAGUACCUGAAAAGGACAAAGGACAUGUUUCUCGUUUAUGGAGGAGACGAAGAGCUCGUCGUAAAGGGUUACGUCGACGCUAGCUUCGACUCAGAUCCGGAUGACUCUAAGUCACAAACCGGAUACGUGUAUAUGUUGAAUGGUGGAGCAAUAAGCUGGUGCAGCUGCAAGCAGAGCGUCGUGGCGGGAUCUACGUGUGAAGCGGAGUACAUGGCAGCCUCGGAGGCAGCACAUGAAGCGAUUUGGGUGAAGGAGUUCAUCACCGACCUAGGAGUCAUACCCAAUGCGUCGGGGCCGAUCAAACUCUUCUGUGACAACACUGGAGCUAUUGCCCUCGCAAAGGAGCCCAGGUUUCACAAGAAGACCAGGCACAUCAAGUGUCGUUUCAACUCCAUCCGUGAAAAUGUUCAAGAUGGAGACAUAGAGAUUUGCAAAGUGCACACGGAUCUGAAUGUCGCAGAUCCACUGACUAAACCUCUCUCGCGUGCAAAACAUGAUCAACACCAGAACUCUAUGGGUGUUCGAUUCAUCACAAUGUAACUAGAUUAGUGACUCUAGUGCAAGUGGGAGACUGUUGGAAAUAUGCCCUAGAGGCAAUAAUAAAAGUAUUAUUAUAUUUCAUUGUUCAUGAUAAUUGUCUUGUAUUCAUGCUAUAACUGUAUUAUCCGGAAAUCGUAAUACACGUGUGAAUACUUAGACCACACUAAGUCCCUGGUAAGCCUCUAGUUGACCAGCUCGUUGUGAUCAACAGAUAGUCAUGGUUUCCUGACUAUGGACAUUGGAUGUCGUUGAUAACGGGAUCACAUCAUUAGGAGAAUGAUGUGAUGGACAAGACCCAAUCCUAAGCAUAGCAUAAAAGAUCGAGUAGUUCAUUUUGCUAGAGCUUUGCAAGUGUCAAGUAUCUCUUCCUUCGACCAUGAGAUCGUGUAACUCCCGGAUACCGUAAGAAUGCCUUGGGUGUACCAAACGUCACAACGUAACUGGGUGAUUAUAAAGGUACAUUACAGGUAUCUCCGAAAGUAGCUGUUGGGUUGACACGGAUCGAGACUGGGAUUUGUCACUCCGUAUGACGGAGAGGUAUCUCUGGGCCCACUCGGUAAUGCAUCAUCAUAUUGAGCUCAAUGUGACCAAGGUGUUGGACACGGGAUCAUGCAUUACGGUACGAGUAAAGUGACUUGCCGGUAACGAGACUGAACAAGGUAUUGGGAUUCCGACGAUCGAGUCUCGGGCAAGUAACGUACCGAUUGACAAAGGGAAUUGCAUACAGGGUUUGAUCGAAUCCUCGACAUAGUGGUUCAUCCGAUGAAAACAUCGAGGAGCAUGUGGGAGCCAUCAUGGGUAUCCAGAUCCCGCUGAUGGUUAUUGACUAAGAGAGUCUCGGUCAUGUCUGCAUGUCUCCCGAACCCGUAGGGUCUACACACUUAAGGUUCAGUCACGCUAGGGUUGUAGGGAUAUGUAUAUGCAGUAACCCGAAUGUUGUUCGGAGUCCCGGAUGAGAUCCCGGACGUCACGAGGAGUUCCGGAAUGGUCCGGAGGUAAAGAUUUAUAUAUAGGAAGUGCUAUUUCGGGCACCGGGACAAGUUUUGGGGUUAUCGGUAUUGUACCGGGACCACCGGAGGGGUCCCGGGGGUCCACCGGGUGGGGCCACCUGUCCCGGGGGGCCACAUGGGCUGUAGGGGGUGCGCCUUGGCCAUCAUGGGCCAAGGGCACCAGCCCCUAUAGGCCCAUGCGCCUAGGGUUUCCCCCUAGGAGGAGUCCUAGUGGUGGAAGGCACCCCUAGGUGCCUUGGGGGGGAGGGAAACCUCCCUAGGCCGCCGCCCCCCCUAGUAGAUCUCAUCUACUAGGGCCGGCCACCCCCCCUUGGCACCCCUAUAUAUAGUGGGGGGAGAGGAGGGACUUCAUACCUUGAGCCCUGGCCUUUGGUUGCCUUCUUCUCCCUCCCCAACACCUCCUCCAACUCCUUAUAGCUUAGCGAAGCUCUGCCGGAGUACUGCAGCUCCACCAACACCACGCCGUCGUGCUGCUGCUGGUGCCAUCUCCCUCAACCUCUCCUCCCUCCCUUGCUGGAUCAAGAAGGAGGAGACGUGGCUGUUCCGUACGUGUGUUGAACGCGGAGGUGCCGUCCGUUCGGUGCUAAGGUCAUCGGUGAUUUGAAUCACGUCGAGUACGACUACAUCAUCACCUUGCAAGCUUCCGCACGCGAUCUACAAGUGGUAUGUAGAUGCAAACUCUCUCCCUAGACUCGUUGCUUAGAUGAACUCAUUGAUGGAUCUUGGUGAAACCGUAGGAAAAAUUUUAAUUUUCUGCAACGUUCCCCAACACGAUCAGUAUGCAAAGAAAAGAUGCCCCAAAAAAGGAAACUACUCCUGUUCUAUGGUUCCAGGACAAUCCGUACGCAGAGAAAAGAUCAACCAUAGAUUUCUGGAGAGGACUAACCGACCUUGAAGGCGAUGAUGUUGUUGGGGCCGCUCUCGUGUGGGAGAGUAAGGAGGAGGAGCUGCGCCUGCCCCCUCCCGUGAAGAAGAGGUUGGAGCCCCCUGCGGCUGCUUCUCCCCUACUUCAGAUCGAGGUCGCGCUCGACAGAUCGAGCUCCACCUGCCGUGGCGACGAGGAGAAGAUGGUUCGAAGGUCCCCGAUGGCCGGUGCCUCUAUCCUCGCCGCUCAUCCCUCCAUUGCUGGCCUCCCCUACUGGCCGNNNNNNNNNNNNNNNNNNNNNNNNNNNNNNNNNNNNNNNNNNNNNNNNNNNNNNNNNNNNNNNNNNNNNNNNNNNNNNUGGGAGGGGACGUCGGUGGGAGGAGGGGCGGCGAUGGGAGGAGAAGGAGGAGGGCGACGAGGAGGGGGAGGCGAGUGGGACGGGAGGCGGCGGCCAGGGUUUCUCCACGGGAGUGGUUGCGAUUUAUACCCCUGGACGUAAAAAGACCAAAAUGCCCUCGGUGGGGCACAGAAUUUACAGGCGGUGGCACGGCGAUUUAAAGGCGACGUGUAUGGCUUCAUCCUGCCUAGCGGUUCUCCAGGGUUUAUAGGUUAAAUUGCAAUCUUAUAAAUAGUGUUCCUUAGUUCAGUUGUUGCUCAAUAGAACAUCUCAAAAUAUCUUCGAAAGAGUUCAAUCAAUUCUUGCGAGUUAACCCGCCGACAAUGAUUUAUGUUUAUUUGUUACUCUGGGUGCAUAUAUGCAGAAAAUAAAUCGUAUUGGUUGCAGGUUAUGAUGCUAAUAUUGGACAAGGAAGCACUGGUGCAGCUAUUGUAAUCUGGAGGGGUCUAUCAUAUUGCCCGUGUCUUCUCUCUCAUGUUGUGACUCGAGGCUGAAGAAACCGAAAUUAUUGCCUGACUGAAGGACUAAAAGUACCGACUACAGUUGUAAUCCAUCCCAUCAUUCAGAUUGUUUGGCUGUUGUUUCUACUUUGAAGAAUGCAGUGCACAAUAAAUCUCGACUUCACAAUAGUGAUGUAGAAACAAGGGAAUAAAUUUGUGAAGAUUGCCAGCAUGAUUCUUAUCGACUUGGUAAAUUUUAAAACCAUAUAACAAAAAAAAAAUCUCAAACAUGUUGUGUCUGGUUUUUGUCGCUAGCUUUUAAACAGUAGAAUAGAUACUCUUGGUAUAGAUUGGCAAGUGUCUGAACUGAACCAGAAAAGAAAAUAUAUUUUGUAUAUACUGAUCAGUGGGUAAGUCAUGCAGGUUGCUCUGGCAAUUAAAAAUCUAGCUAAUGGUCCGGUUAUUCUUGAGGGGCUUUGUUCAUGCAUUUUUGCUUGAAGAAACAUGUCUGCUACUUUGGGAUGGUGCUUUUGCUUGAAGAAACAUGUCUGCUACUUUGGGAUGGUGCUCCAAUGGUACACCGACACCAUUUUGAGGCCCUUGACAGAAAAUUGAGAGAUAUACUUUCAAUGAACGGCAGCAACAAAAAUGCUCUUCCUUUUGAUAUUCUACAAUAGAAAAAAACUUCUAUGCUACAUUGAUUUGAUCUCUCAUACAAAAACAACAGCUGGACGAAUCACAGCUAAACCGACGAUGGGCAAUUUCACGAGCACGGCAGGCCGCCGCGGCUUCGCACGGCUAGUACAGUUUAGACCGGCAAUGGGUGUGUAUUGCUAUGAUUCAAGUAAGUUGUGUUAUUGUACAAGCAGUGUUUAUGGAUGAAUAUAUAGUUCUACUAUUAUGUUGAUUAUGGUAUUUGUGGCCUUGCUAUGGAAAAAAAUCAGCACAUAUAGAAACCACUAAUGAAAGCUUAUUUCUUUCAUUUUUUUCAUCUCUUACACUUGUUUUCUAUGGUGUGCAUUCUCUUUAUUCGGAUACAACUUGCACAGACAGAAUUCAUGUUGCCAUUCACUACAAGAAAAACUGCAUACGCUGAGUGGUCGGUUGUAUGUUGAGUGUUACUUCAUGGGGUGCUCAGCAUAAAACCCAAUUUGCCGAGCAAAAACUAGAAACACUCAGCAUAAUAUUACCGACUUUCCUUCCUCUUCUUGCCGGUCAACUAUUUCUUUCGCUCUACUGAUAACAUCACACACGAUGCACCACUCUGUCAUAAUGCACACACACACUCCGUAUCCCACUACUUCGGCAAAUCAUUGCCUUGGGUCCCACUUCUAUAGCUACAUGGUCAUGCGCACAACUUCCACCACUCCAGCCGAUCUCAGUCAUGUUUCCCGUCGUCUUCGACACUCCCUUUACUUGUCUCGUGCCUCUAUCUGCUCACCCACGGUUGUAUCAUCGAUCGACCACUUUGCCGAGGCAUAUCACUUUGCAUCACUCCUACUUGCACACAUUGUAUAGUUGCCGAGUUUUUCUUAUCUCCAAGUACCAUGCACUAGGACAUCAAUAUGAUCAUAAUGUUGCAGUAUAGCUAGAAAGACAAAAGAAGAGCCAAAAACAACUUUCCGCUGAUUGAGUUGUGCCACGUUACCGAAAAAGCUCACGCCCCACUUUAUAUAUAAAGCAUGUUGUGGUACGUUCAAAAUAAGAUUUCGGCGACCAUGGCCAAGGUUAAAUCAAUCUCGCUUGAAGUUGAACAAGAAAAUUAACACUCAUUUGGCUAACAACAAGGACCACAAACAACAUUCCAAUUUAAAGAACAAACUGACUUUUGUCCUGUUCUGAGAAGAAGCACGAAUUGGCUUCUAGCCACUAUACGUAAUAAAAAAAUGGUGCAUGGGAGGGGGGUAGGGGGGAUGUUACGAAAGUUGCAAUCCACAUGAAAAUGACAGAGGCAUGACAAAGCAAAAUAAAAGAGAUAUGUUAGCUACUCAUAUAUUAUCGCCAACGGAAAAAUAAAUCCUAUGUAGCAACCGGCACACAGUAUUAGAACAACUCAAUUACAAGCAAAAAAUGGUUCUUAUGUGUGCGAGUACCAAUUGCCUUAACAAGUUGUACAACUUGAACCCGAAAGAAAUAUUCUUGAACUUAAUCAUUUUACACGUUUGUACCACUAGCACCUAGUUGGCUAGCUACUAGGUACGUGUGUCCCGACUAGUACGACCUGACCUCUUCUCGGCCAAUGAAGAUGAUGCAGUUAUUUUCGUGCCACGAGAUCAAAUGACGAUCGAAGUUCCUCCACAUCGGCAGAGGUAAUCUCAAUCAGAAGAAAUAACAGGCCGCGGACGAUUAUAUCUGACUACCUCAACGCGCGCACAUGUGCUUCGAAUUUGACCAGUGUAAUUCGUUGAGAACUAUUUUUUCUAUGAAACUUUCCAAGCUUAGUUAUACCUCAGAGAAGCAAUCGAUCAUGUGCAGGCAGUAUAAAUACACAACGUACGCAUGGUGGCAGUCUAUCUCAUCGUUACAGAUAUAUCUUCCUUGAUUAGUUUUGUAAGCUCUUCAUCAGCGAUGGAGUACUCGACGAAGCUAGUGGUGCUGCUCGUAGCUCUCAUGUCGGCCAUGGCGGUCACGGCCCAAAACUCGGAGCAGGACUUCGUGGACGCCCACAACGCGGCGCGCGCCGACGUGGGCCUUGGGGAGGUGACAUGGGAUGCUACGGUGGCAGCCUUCGCGCAGGACUACGCGGAUCAGCGCCGCGGCGACUGCCAGCUGAUCCAUACUCCUGAUGGCCGGCCGUACGGGGAGAACCUCUACGGAGGCGGCGGGACCGAGUGGACGGCGACGGACGCCGUGAAUUCAUGGGUGUCGGAGAAGCAGUACUACGACCACGACAGCAACACCUGCUCGGCGCCCGAGGGUGAGUCGUGCGGGCACUAC
rnacentral:lncRNA from 1 species